UCUCCAUUACUGCAAAAAAAAUAAAAAUAAUAAAAAUUGGGAUUUUUAUCCAUUCAUGCUGAAAUGCUAGACCAGUAACUGCACAAAAGAAAGAAGGAUCUCUGGACCCACAUGAUCAUGACGCCCUCAUCCCACCUCCACUCUCCACAGGACUGUGGCUCUACCUAGGUCUUUCUUCUUUGAAUUGGGAACAUGCUACUCCAGGAUACUGAAGCUAUGGUCAACCAAGGGGACAAGGAGACCUGAGAAGAGCUCCAUCUUUCUGGAUACUGUGAGGUUCCAGAGACUCCACCCCACAUCUGGUGGAGCCACAAAUUAUAGCAGGACAGGACUGAUGGAGCGAGUCUAAGCGUGUGAGUGCCACCUGCAGGGUUCACUAAGGACCCAGUGUACCCUGCUUUGUGGGCAGCGCUCCUACUAUCCUCACAUCAUUGGACCACCACAUCUGGAACACAUGGCUUUAGGCCCACUGGCUGCACUGGUGGCGGAAGUUGUAAACAGGAGCACUGUUUCUGCCCAGUGUCCAUCUGAAGCUGAAGCUUGCUUCUGAAACCACAUCAGUGCAUGUGUGUGUGCCAAAGGUCACAGGUCAGUGCUCCUGCUGGGAAUGAUUUGGGGUUACACAUUCUCCUGGUGUUAAGAUGAAUAUUGACCAUCCAGGAGCAGGAGGAGAGCAGGAGUGCCGAGG